rnacentral:rRNA from 1 species
GACGAACGCUGGCGGCGUGCUUAACACAUGCAAGUCGAACGCUGAAGCUUGGUGCUUGCACUGGGUGGAUUAGUGGCGGACGGGUGAGUAAUACGUGAGUAACCUGCCCUUGACUCUGGGAUAAGCCUGGGAAACUGGGUCUAAUACUGGAUACGACAUGUCACCGCAUGGUGGUGUGGGGAAAGGGUUUUACUGGUUUUGGAUGGGCUCACGGCCUCUCAGCUUGUUGGUGUGGUAAUGGCUCACCAAGGCGACGACGGGUAGCCGGCCUGAGAGGGUGACAGGCCACACUGGGACUGAGACACGGCCCAGACUCCUACGGGCGGCAGCGGUGGGGAAUAUUGCGCAAUGGGCGGAAGCCUGAUGCAGCGACGCCGCGUGAGGGAUGACGGCCUUCGGGUUGUAAACCUCUUUCAGCACGGAAGAAGCGAAAGUGACGGUACGUGCAGAAGAAGCGCCGGCUAACUACGUG